GAUGAAGAACGCAGCGAAAUGCGAUAACUAAUGUGAAUUGCAGAAUUCAGUGAAUCAUCGAGUCUUUGAACGCACAUUGCGCCCCCUGGUAUUCCGGGGGGCAUGCCUGUCCGAGCGUCAUUGCUGCCCUCAAGCACGGCUUGUGUGUUGGGCUCCGUCCCCCCGGGGACGGGCCCGAAAGGCAGCGGCGGCACCGAGUCCGGUCCUCGAGCGUAUGGGGCUUUGUCACCCGCUCUGUAGGCCCGGCCGGCGCCAGCCGACAACCCAUCAUCCUUUUCAGGUUGACCUCGGAUCAGGUAGGGAUACCCGCUGAACUUAAGCAUAUCAAUAAACGGAGGA
rnacentral:misc_RNA from 1 species